ACCGGAGAUUUGAGCCAGCCAGCUAGCCAACCAGCUAGUUAGCAAGCCAGCCAGCUAGCCAGUAGGCACUCCAUGGAAAGCACUCUCCAAGUGAAAAAUCCGGCGGACAGAGAAAUUCACCAGAAGCAGACCACUUGCCCGCUUCGUGGACAGCGUGUGGGAUUACCCGGACUUGUCAGGGACUCCGUGUGCCAGUGUAUGUAGAACACAGCGCGUCGAGUGGCCGGACCUCGCACCCAAUCAAAGGCAGGCUCAUUUGAUGAUCUUGACAUAAUGAUAUAUUCUUUGGUAUCAAUCCCGAGGGCGAUGCCAAUGGCAUGCACCGCCACAGCAGCGAAAUGGGCCAGUGGAAAAUUUACAGCCGGCAGACUGGGGGUCUUCAGCUAUUCGAGUGAAUGAAACACAGAUAACUUUUUGGUAAA